rnacentral:misc_RNA from 1 species
AAGUCGUAACAAGGUUUCCGUAGGUGAACCUGCGGAAGGAUCAUUCUUGAUAAUGUGUAGCUUAUGCUAUCACUAAAUAUGUGCACUGUUACCUGCCAUUUGGCGGCCGAAAGGUCGUCGUCUGGCGCUGUUUUUAAUAUACCUAGCAACUUUUUGUACCAGUAAUCAUAAAAUCUUAUGACAACUUUUAGCAAUGGAUCUCUAGGCUCUC